GAGUACAGUUGCAGACGGUAAGGGAACGCGAUCCCACAUUUUUAUACCUACUUUGGUGCGAUUCUCGCCACCCUCCCCUGAUUGGUCCUGCCCAGCAAGUCGGGCCUUUGCCUGAAGGAAGAAAUCUGCACAUUCUCCUCCUUCCCGAGACGACUGAGGCCAUACCGAGUGCUCUGAGUCAUCGCUAAUUUCAGGGCUGAAGUUCCAUACGGUGGGGCAAGAGGGAUUCCUGAGGCUAAGCUGAUGCCAUCUGGAGAGGAGCGAUCUGCCCCAGAAAGACAGCUUCUGCAAUAUAGGGGGAUGACUGAGCACAGUGAUUUGGCAACUGACCCUUCAGCUCUCUCUCCAGUCCACCAACCAGUCCACCAACCGCAGACUCUCCUUAUGCUGCUUUAGUUUGCUCUGCCCUCUUUUCACUGGAGCCCACGGCUGCAAAGUAACACCUUAGUGGACUGGGUACAUACCUAUGCCUCAGUGGCUAACCAAUCAGCAUGCCGGGUCUGCACUGAAAUCCCCCUGAGUACACCUACUGGCCUCCCAUGGCGCAUCUCUCUAACUUCAGUCUCAAAUUGGAGUUGGUUACAGCACCAGUGGAACAGUGCACAUUCUUUGCAUAACACAACCUGGACUGACAUCUACACUGGGGCAGAGCAGCAGUGUGAUUGGCCCCAGCUGGUAGUUGGCUACUUCAUAUGGGAUGACUUGGGGUGGCUCCUGGCUGAGGCAUAGAGUUGGCUGGACCAGCCCCCCCUUGGUAUUGAGAGCCCUAAAGUACAAGCCCAAGUGGGAUGGACUCCAAUAAAUCUGUGUCAGAAGCAUACUCUUAUGCAUUACUGGGAGGCAUGAAAUAACUCAUGGACUGCACUUCCUACUGGGGCCCUCUGGGUGUGUGGUUCAAACGGAUGGCCUAACCUACCUGGAAAUUGGACUGGCCGUUGUACCUGAAAAUGGCCCUAUUUGCCUCCUGGAGUUCAGAAAACUCUUGCAAUCCGGCCAACCAAUUGGGAAGCAUUUAGAGCAUGAUACUGUGUAAAGCAUGCUCCCUGGUGGUCUUACCCAUUAGUGAUUUUUUCUCUUCAAGCUGCUUCUUCAGUCACUAAAAUUGAAAUAACAGCUUUGGCUUUGCACACUGCUCAUGCGUUGAAUGCAACACAUAAUUUUCUCAACUGCUUGAAUGAGGAAGUGUAUCAAUUAAGAAAAGUAGCCUUACAAAAUCGUAUGGCCUUAAAUAUAUUCACUGCAUCACAGGGUGGGGGAUGUGCCCUAGUAGGGGUUGAAUGCUGUGUAUACAUUCCAAAUGUCCAUCAUAAUAUUAGCCAAGCUCCAUGGGCAUUAGCUUCUAAAACCCAUGCUAUGGAACACCUGACAGGUAAUCCCUGCAGGAAUGGUAGUUAGUGGUUCCUUGCUGUCUUGGGUGGCAGUGCUUGUGUUCUGGUUGCGUGCUGCUGCAGCAUUUGGGUGUAGGGCUCUGCCCUCCUCACCAAAGGACCCUCAUAGAAGACACCCUCAUGUAGAAUGUACAGCAAGGAACCCUGAAGGGGUAAAUUAUGGGGAAAAUGAGGUCUCUCAGGCUCCCUCACCCUUAUGUCCAGGCAACUAUGAUAAGCAGUACUCACAUACCCUUGAGCAUGGGCCUGCAUGUGCAGAAUCACACUUUGUUAUAUAAUAUCUUGGCAGCCUGCCAGCUUUGUGUCCAUUUAGUAUAUAAGGGAGUUGAGACUUCCCCCAGUACAACACUAAGUUUGUGGUGUGCGUGAAUCACCCCACCUCAAAAUAAAGGCAUGUCAGACAUCCCUAUGGCUCUGAAGUUUCUUCCAUCUGCCUGAAUCCCAUGUGAAUCUGCCUGGCUUUCAACAGCUGCAAGACAUACGUGUUUAUUGGCAUUUUUGUAUUUAUUGUGAAAUAUAUAUUCAUGUGUUGUUGAAUUUUUUCUUUUGUUUGUCUCUUUCUGAUGUUAGUAGUUUUAUCAUGUUCUUGUUAUUAAUCCAGAACAUGUUUUGUUCAUGUGAAAAAGAUUUAUCUCCUAGUUAUUUCUCAUCUUUUAACUUUGUCUAUAGUGUCAUUUAGCAUAUAUUUUAGUAAUGUUAAACAUGUUAAGUGAUGAUGUUUUAAUAAGAAAUUUAGCAGUCCUUUUUUGGUGACUAUUGCAUUUGUAACUUUGCUUAAGGCCUUCUAUACCACCAAGAUAUCAUUUGGAUUUAAGUUUAUAUGUUGGGAGGUAUCUAAUUUUAUUUUUUCCAAAUGUAUAUCUACUUUUUCCAAAAUGAUUUGUUCAAGUAGUUUAUUUUUUCCUAUAGACGUGAUAUAUCAUUUCAACUAUAUAUGCCCUUCCCAUAGAAUAGAACUUUUAUAGAAUUCCCACAUAGAAAUAGAUUCACAUGGAUCUAUUGCUUGCUUUAUUUUUCCCACCAAUUUGUUCAUUUUUAUACAAAUAACACAUGCAUUUUAAAUUUUGAUAGGCACUUAUUGUUAUUCAUUUAAAAAUUAUCCUAAUUAUACUUAUAUACUUUCUCUUUAGAAUCAGCUUGUAAAGUUCUACAAAAAGUCCUCAUGGCAUUUGAUUGGGAUUAUAUUGUGUUUAAUUAUCGAUUUGUGAAGAUGCCAUAUCUUCACAACACUAAUUUUUUUUACUUAUGAACAUGGCAUGUUUAUAUAAUUGUUUAUGUUUUCUUUUAUACCACUCAGUAAAACUUUAUACUGUUCUUCAUGUACAGUCAAUGUGUGACUUAAUUGGAUUUUUAAGGUAUUUUAUGGUUUUCAUUAUUUAUAUUUUGUAUUUAGUUAUUGCUGGAGUAAAGGUAAGCAACUCAUUUUUAUAGACUAGUUAUAUAGCCAACCACCAAACUGAACCCUCAUUAAUUCUAAUACUUAAUUUUCUAAGAUGUUUGGAAAUAUUAUUAUAUAAGCCAUA